rnacentral:rRNA from 1 species
UACGAAGGGGGCGAGCGUUGUUCGGAAUCACUGGGCGUAAAGGGUGCGUAGGCGGUUAUGAAAGUUAGGAGUGAAAGCCCCAGGCUCAACUUGGGAAUUGCUCUUAAUACUCCAUGACUUGAAUUCGGGAGAGGAUAGCGGAAUUGUCAGUGUAGCAGUGAAAUGCGUAGAUAUUGACAGGAACACCGGUGGCGUAAGCGGCUAUCUGGACCGACAUUGACGCUGAGGCACGAAAGCGUGGGGAUCAAACAGG